AGAGUUUGAUUAUGGCUCAGAACGAACGCUGGCGGCAGGCUUAACACAUGCAAGUUGAACGGGAUUUGCUUGGUGCUUGCACCGGGUAAUGAGAGUAGCGCACUGGUGAGUAACACGUGGGAACAUGCCUUUUGGUGGGGGACAACAGAGGGAAACUUCUGCUAAUACCGCAUAAGCCCUAAGGGGGAAAGAUUAAUUGCCGAAGGAUUGGCCCGCGGAAGAUUAGGUAGUUGGUGGGGUAAAGGCCUACCAAGCCGACGAUCUAUAGCUGGUCUGAGAGGACGAACAGCCACAUUGGAACUGAGACACGGUCCAGACUCCUACGGGAGGCAGCAGUGAGGAAUAUUGGGCAAUGGAGGAAACUCUGAACCCCCAGCCAUGCCGCGUGAGUGAAGAAGGUUUUCGAAUUGUAAAGCUCUUUCGGAUACGAGGAUGAUGACGGUAGUAUCUAAAGAAGCCCCGGCAAACUUCGUGCCAGCAGCGGC
rnacentral:rRNA from 1 species